rnacentral:lncRNA from 1 species
UCGCAGACGUUCAGUCGUUACAGCUGCCGAUAGAAAACGUCAUCAAUCAAGUGUUCACAGCAUUAAAAAAUCUAAACGGGCGCAGACGCGUGACGAUAAUGCCAAGCAUUAGAGCUGUGCCGCCGCACUGUAUCAGACCCAUGUGAUCUUUGGCGCCGGAAAUGGUUGGGAUGCUGCGAGUAUAAUCCAACCACAACGCCGGUAGGUACCUGCAGACCAGCUGAUGUUACGUGCGCUGCCUACGUAGCGCGAUUUUGCCGGGAGAACAACAAGAAGUAAAUCAGAGGGACGCUGACCUUACGAGCGAAGGAUCAAAAAAGUUAAGAUUAUGGUUGAGUAGGGAGAGAAGUAAGUUGACAUUGAAAUCUGAGGGAGAUACCUGCAAGGCGGGUCUAGAGGGUUCGGGGUGUAAUCGCCCUAUCGUC